rnacentral:rRNA from 1 species
CCUACGGGAGGCAGCAGUAGGGAAUCUUUCACAAUGGGCGAAAGCCUGAUGGAGCAACGCCGCGUGCAGGAUGAAGGCCUUCGGGUUGUAAACUGCUUUUAUAAGCGAGAAAUAUGAUGGUAACUUAUGAAUACUGAUCGGCUAACUACGUUCCAGCAGCCGCGGUCAUACGUAGGAUCCGAGCAUUAUCCGGAGUGACUGGGUGUAAAGAGUUGCGUAGGUGGCAUAAUAAGUAGCUAGUGAAAUCUGGUGGCUCAACCAUUCAGACUAUUAGCUAAACUGUUAAGCUCGAGACCGUUAGGGGUAACUGGAAUGUCUAGUGUAGGAGUGAAAUCCGUAGAUAUUAGAAGGAACACCAAUAGCGUAGGCAGGUUGCUGGGACGGGUCUGACACUAAGGCACGAAAGCGUAGGGAGCAAACGGGAUUAGAUACCCCAGUAGUC